rnacentral:rRNA from 1 species
UCGAGGAUCUUCCGCAAUGCGCGCAAGCGUGACGGAGCGACGCCGCGUGGGUGAUGAAGGCCUUCGGGUCGUAAAACCCUGUUAGCUACAGUGAAUUGCGGGUGGUGAAUAGCCAUCCCGCUUGACGUAAGUAGCAAAGAAAGCACCGGCUAACUACGUGCCAGCAGCCGCGGUAAGACGGAGGGCGCAAGCGUUGUUCGGAAUUACUGGGCGUAAAGCGCGGGCAGGCGGUCUGUUAAGUCGUUUGUGAAAAUCCGGGGCUCAACCCCGGAAAUGCAUACGAUACUGGCAGGCUGGAGACUGGUAGAGGCUAGCGGAAUUCCUGGUGUAGCGGUGGAAUGCGUAGAUACUGGGAGGAACACCGGUGGCGAAGGCGGCUACCUGGACCGGUUCUGACGCUGAUGCGACGAAAGCGUGGGGAGCAAA